UACAGAGGUCUCGAGCGUUAGGCGGAAUCACUGGGCUUAAAGCGUGUGUAGGCGGAUCGUUAAGUGCUUUGUGAAAUCCCACGGCUCAACCGUGGAACUGCUUGGCAUACUGGCGGUCUUGAGCAACCUAGGGGCGAGCGGAACAAAUGGUGGAGCGGUGAAAUGCGUAGAUAUCAUUUGGAACGCCAAUGGUGAAAACAGCUCGCUGGGGGUUUGCUGACGCUGAGACACGAAAGCCAGGGGAGCAAACGGG
rnacentral:rRNA from 1 species